UCCCUGGUGGUCCAGUGGUUAGGGUUUGACACUGUCACUGCUGAGGGUCUGGGUUCAAUCCCUAAUCUGGGAA
rfam:Ovis aries breed Texel chromosome 14, whole genome shotgun sequence.